rnacentral:tRNA from 1 species
GCCUGGCUGGCCCAAUCAGUAGAGCAUGUGACUUUUGAUCUUGGGAUCAUGAGUUCAAGCCCCAUGUUGGGCA